rnacentral:lncRNA from 1 species
CUUCGGAGGUCAGAGCUCGGCGGGGUGCGGCUAGUGGCGGAGCGCGCUGCGAGGGGAGGGCUUUCCACUGUCGCUGGCGUGAACUCGCGUGCCCGCAAGCUGGAUUUCGGGAAUGCUCAGUUCAGAAGAGAAAAAAUUGCCGGGAAUCAAGUCCUUCUUUUUGUUAGUCGGUAGUCGAUUGAUGGGAAGUGUUCAAAAUCAUUCGAUGUGGUGACAAGGCUUCACCAGGUACUGCCUUCUAACGAGCUGGCCAUUUCCACAUGUCAGAUAGGACCAACUUGCCUUUUAACUACCCGUGUGAUACUUAAACACUGUUGCCGGUAUCACAGCUUUUCUUCAAAACAGGGCAGUCAGUGAAGGCUCCCCAGGGGAGAUGACGUUUGAGCCGAGUUUCAGAAGAUGAUUGGAGUUUACCACGUGUUCACAGGAAGCAACGAGAAUGAGGGCAUUCCAGUAGCAGGAGACAGCAUGCAUAGAGAUGCUGAUGAAGAAAGAGCCUAGCGCACGUGGGAAACUGCAAAAGUUCAGACUGGUUGGAAUGCUGGAAAUGUUGUGAAUGACAGGAGAUGAGGCUGGCGAGAAAACAGAGGUCAGAUUGUGGAAGGCUGUCAAGCCAAAGACUUUGAUUUUAUUCUUGAGAUUGAUGAGAUGUGUGUAAUCCAGGAGUGUGCAAAACAAUCUGUAAGGGUUCAGAAAACAUACUGCUUCUAUAUAUAGUUACCUUUGUCUUAACUUGAAAAUUUCAAAUUGUGUAGGAGUUACAAUGUGUGUAAUUGUUAUUAUAGUACUGGAUCCAAAUAAUUUAUAAAUAAAUAAAUAUAGACAUAAUAUGGUGUAUUACAGGUUAAAUUGUGUACCUCAAAAAUUCAUGUUUAAGUUCUAACCCUCAUUAUCUCAAACUGUGACCUUAUUUGGAAAUACUAUCAUUGCAGAUGCAAUAGUUAAUGAGGUCAAGUUAAGAAGCAAUAGGAGGCCACCACACCUGGCCUAAAUCCACAUGUAUUUGUAAUAGUUUUGCCAUUGUUUAGACAGGUAGUUUUAAGAUUUUUUAAAGUAAUAGAAGCCUUUCUUCAAAUUAAAUCUUAUGUGGAAGUCCAGUAUGCAGCAAUUAUGUUAGGUAGUCAUAGAGGACUGGCCAUUCGUAAAAAAAAAUAUACCCUUGUUUUAAAUCUUUGUUUCUUGAAUUUAGUCUUGAAGUUCCAUGUUUUAUGACUAUGUAUUCCAUGUUUAUUUUAUAGUGUGUUAGCAAAAUGAAAGGAAUGUACAUGGAUGGGGAUGAUAAAGAUGCUACUGACCUAUUAUUAUAGGGCCUGUGCUUGGAGUUGCUUUUCAGUAAUGGGAUUGGAUUUGUAAGAAUCUGUCCAUCAGGCUGGGUGCAGUGGCUGACGCCAGUAAUCCCAGCACUUUGGGAGGCCGAGGCUCAAGUAGCUCAAUUUGCUCAAAAAAAAAAAAAAAAAAAAAGAAUCCAUCUAUCGUCUGGCCGGGCACGAUGGCUCACGCCUGUAAUCCCAGCACUUUGGGAGACUGAGGCGGGCGGAUCACGAGGUCAAGAGAUCGAGACCAUCCUGGCCAACAUGGUCAAACCCCGUGUCUACUAAAAAUACAAAAAUUAGAUGGGCGUGGUGGUGGGCGCCUGUAAUCCAUCCCAGCUACUCAGGAGGCUGAGGCAGGAGAAUCACUUGAACCCGGGAGGCGGACCACUGCACUCCAGCAGAGUGAGACUCCCUCCCAAAAAAAAAGAAUCCAUCUAUCCUCUUUAAUUUAGUCCCCUUUGUGGCCACACAGCAGUCUGUGUCCUACACCCUCUUGGUCAAGAAUAUAAUGUCUACUACUCACAAAAAUAUAUUUCUCAGUAAGUGACUCCCCUUCCUCUCAUCAUUGUUCUUUUAGCAAUUUUUGUGCACUAUUCAUUUAACUAUAACUUUGCCACCUUUGGACUCUAAUAGACUCAAAAACCUGUUUGUCCAGUUUAGUGUAUGUUUGUUUUAUUCCCUCACCCAUGACUUCCAGUCAUAUUACUGUAAGCUGAUAUUUGGAACUACAUAUAUCUUUUGUAUGUUUAUUUUUUUAAUUUUUUUUGCAAGUUUCAGGAUCUAUAUUUUGUUGUUUGUUUGUUUGUUUGUUUGUUUUUGAGACAGAGUCUCAUUCUGUCACCCAGGUUGGAGUGCAGUGACACGAUCUCAGCUCACUGCAACCUCCGCCUCCUAGGUUCAAGCGAUUCUCCUGCCUCAGUCUCCCGAGUAGCUGGGAUUACAGGCACCCGCCACCACACCUGGCUAAUUUUUGUAUUUUUAGCGGAGAUAGGGUUUCACAUGUUGGCCACACUAGUCCCAAACUCCUGACUUCAGGUGAUCUACCUGCCUUGGCCUCCCAAAGCGCUGGGAUUACAGGCGUGAGCCACCGCGCCCAGCCUGUAUAUGUUUAAAUUGUCAUAAAAACUAACACCCUUUGGGAGGCCGAGGCAGGCAGAUCAUGAGGUCAGGAGAUCGAGACCAUCCUGGCUAACACAGUGAAACCCCAUCUCUACUAAAAAUAUUUUUUUAAAAAUUAGCCAGGCUUGGUGGCGGGCGCCUGUAGUCCCAACCCAGGAGGCUGAGGCAGGAGAAUGGCAUGAACCCAGGAGGCAGAGCUGGCAGUGAGCCAAUAUCACGCCACUGCACUCCAGCCUGGACGACAGAGAGAGACUCCAUCUCAAAAAAAAAAAAAAAAAAAGAAAAAAGAAAACCAACACCAUGUGGGGAUGUUGGGAAUAGCAGUUGAAUGUUUCAGAAUUAGGUUUUUUGUAUUUGUGGUAUUCUCAGAUGGCCCAUUUUUCCAAGAUCACGUUAUGUCAUGUGGCUAGUUUGACAGCCCAUAAGCCAUAGUUCAGGGACAUUUUUACCUUUUUCUAAAGGGUAUAUAUAAAAAGAUAUAAAGAACAAACUAUUCAGAUAGUUUGGUAUCAGUGAAUCAUUUCAAUAAAAAUAUACUCUGAGUCUUCCUUCUUUCAGCAAAUGUUUACUGAGCUCCUACUAUAUGCUAGCAGUCAUUAUGCUAAGUUUUAAGUAUACAGCAGCAAACUAACUGAACAUAAUCCAGGCCUCACGGGAUAGAGAAAUUACACCAAAAAAUUAUAUGCAUAAUACAUUCAUACAUGUAUAAAAUCUUCAUACCAAUUACAAAGGAAAUCAACAGGGCUCUACAGAGAGUUAAAGAAGCUACUCUAAAAAGAACAGAAAAGGAAUGAGAAGUGAAAGGAAUUCCAGCAUUCUAGCUGGGUGCCGUGGCAUGCACCUGUAGCCCCAGCUACUCAGGAGGCUGAGGCAGGAGGACCCCACGAUCCCAGGAGUUCAAGUCUAGCCUAGGCAACAUAGCGAGACUCUCAUCUCAAAAAAAAAAGAAAAAGAAAAAAACUGUGUUAUAGGCUGGGCACAGUGGUUCGCGCCUGUAAUCCCAGCACUUUGGGAGGCUGAGGCGGGUGGAUCACGAGGUCAGGAUUUCAGGACCAGCCUGGCCAAGAUGGUGAAACCCCAUCUCUACUAAAAAUACAGAAAAAUAGGCCGGGCACAGUGGCUCACCCCUGUAAUCCCAGCACUUUGGGAGGCCAAGGCGGGCGGAUCACGAGGUCAAGAGAUUGAAAACAUCCUGGUCAACAUGGCAAAACCCUGUCUCUACUAAAAAUACAAAAAUUAGCUGGGCAUGGUGGCACACACCUGUAGUCCCAGCUACUCAGGAGGCUGAGGCAGGAGAAUCACCAGGAGGUGGAGGUUGUAGUGAGCCGAGAUUGUGCCACUGCACUCCAGCCCGGGCGACAGAGUGAGACUUUGUCUUAAAAAAAAAAAAAAUGAGUAGGAUUUGGGGGAGGAAUGGCAGAGAAAUGACCUGGUUAUCUAUUGCCAAAGCAAAAGCAAAGCAAGGAAAAAUUGUUUUAAAAAUACUUUAAAGAACAAGUGGAGGCCAGGUGUAGUGGCCCAUGCCUAUAAUCCCAGAACUUUGAGAGGCGGAGUCGGGUGGAUCACCUGAGUUCAGGAGUUCGAGACCAGCCUGACCAACAUGACCAACAUGGUGAAUCCCUGUCUGUACUAAAAAUACAAAAAUUAGCUGAGCAUGGUGGCUAACACCUGUAGUCCCAGCUGCUCGGGAGGCUGAGGCACAAGAAUUGCUCGAACUCAAGAGGCAGAGGUUUCAGUGAGCCUAGAUCAUGCCACUGCACUUCACCCUGGGCAACAGAGUGAGACUCGGUCUAAAAAAAAAAAAAGAAAGUGGAAUUUGAAAGUAAAAGCAUAAUACCAUUUAUAUUAGCAUGCCCCCAAAAAUUAAAUACUUAGGUAUAAAUCUAAUAAAUGUGUACAAGAUCUGUAAGAGGAAAACUUUGAAAACCUGAUGAAAGAAAUCAAAGAACAAUUAAACAAAUAUUGAGGUAUUUCAUGUUUUUGUUUAGGAAAACUCGAUAUUGUCAUGAUGUUCUUCCCAACUUCAUCUAUAGAUUCAAUGCAGUCCUUUUCAAAAUGUCAGGAGAUCAUUCUGUAGAUAUAAACAAACCGAUUCUAAAGUUUAUAUGGGCCAGGCGAAGUGGCUCACACCUAUAGUCCCAGCACUUUGGGAGGCCAAGGCGGGCAUAUCACCUGUCAGGAGUUUGAGACCAGCCUGGCCAACAUGACAUGGUAAACCCCUGUCUCUACUAAAAAUACAAAGAUCAGCUGGGUAUGGUUGUGGGCGCCUGUAAUCCCAGCUACUCAGGAGGCUGAGGCAGGAGAAUCCCUUGAGCCCAGGAGGGAGAGGUUGAAGUGAGCCGAGAUCGUGCCACUGCACUCCAGCCUGGGUGAUGGAGCAAGAUUCUGUCUCACCAAAAAAUAAUAAUAAAGUAUAUAUGGAGGAGGGAAAAGACCAAGAAUGAGCAACGCAAUAUUGAAGGAGAAUAACAAAGUUAGAGGAUGGCACUACCCAACUUCAAGACUUACUGGCCAGGCGUGGUGGCUCACACCUAUAAUCCCAGCACUUUGGGAGGCUGAGGCGGGUGGAUUACCUGAGGUCAGGAGUUCGAGACCAGCCUGACCAACAUGGUGAAACCCCGUCUCUACUACAAAUACAAAAAUUAGCCAGGCAUGGUGGUGGGCGCCUGUAAUCCCAGCUAUUCCUCAGGAGGCUGAGGCAUGAAAAUUGCUUGAACCUGGGUGGUGGAGGUUGCAGUGAGCCGAGAUCUCGCCAUUGAACUCUAGCCUGGGCAACAGAGUGAGACUCCAUCUCAAAAAAAAAAAAAAAAAGACUACUGUAAAGCUACAGUAAGUGGAUGCCUGUAAUCCCAGCUGCUCUGCAGGCUGAGGCAGAGAAUUGCUUGAACCCGGUAGGCGGAGGUUGCAGUGAGCUGAGAUCGCACCACUGCACUCCAGCCUGGACAACAGAGUGAGUCUCUGUCUCAAAAAAAAAAAAUUGUCACAUGUCUAAAUAUAAAAUGCAAUGCAAAAGCAUGAAAACACCUAAAAGAUAAGACAGAAUUAAAUCCAGAUGACCUAUGGCUUCGCGGUGACUUUUUAGGUACAACACCAAAGGCAUGGUACAUGAAAGAAAGAACCAAUAAGUUGGACUUCCUUAAAAUUGAAAAUUUGUGCUCUGCAAAAGACACUGUCAAGUGGAUAAAAAGAGAAGCCACAGAUUGGGAGAAAAUAUUUGUAAGACAUAUCCGAUACAAGACUAUUAUCUAAAAUAGACAAAAAAUUCUUUGAGAGGGAGUCUCGCUCUGUCCCCCAGGCUGGAGAGCAGUGGCGCGAUCUCGCCUCACUGCAAGCUCUGCAUCCCAGGUUCAUGUCAUUCUCCUGCCUCAGCCUUCCGAGUAGCUGGGACUACAGGCACCCACACCACGCCCGACUAAUUUUUUUGUAUUUUUAGUAGAGACGGGGUUUCACCGUGUUAGCCAGGAUGGUCUCAAUCUCCUGACCUUGUGAUUCACCCGCCUCAGCCUCCCAAAGUGCUGGGAUUACAG